rnacentral:rRNA from 1 species
GACGAACGCUGGCGGCGUGCCUAAUACAUGCAAGUAGAACGCACAGUUUAUACCGUAGCUUGCUACACCAUAAACUGUGAGUUGCGAACGGGUGAGUAACGCGUAGGUAACCUGCCUGGUAGCGGGGGAAAACUAUUGGAAACGAUAGCUAAUACCGCAUAAUAUUGAUUAUUGCAUGAUAAUUGAUUGAAAGAUGCUAUUGCAUCACUACCAGAUGGACCUGCGUUGUAUUAGCUAGUAGGUGAGGUAACGGCUCACCUAGGCGACGAUACAUAGCCGACCUGGGAGGGUGAUCGGCCACACUGGGACUGAGACACGGCCCAGACUCCUACGGGAGGCAGCAGUAGGGAAUCUUCGGCAAUGGACGAAAGUCUGACCGAGCAACGCCGCGUGAGUGAAGAAGGUUUUCGGAUCGUAAAGCUCUGUUGUAAGAGAAGAACGGGUGUGAGAGUGGAAAGUUCACACUGUGACGGUAUCUUACCAGAAAGGGACGGCUAACUACGUG